GCAAAUGACAAAGAGUGCUGGUGACAGGCAGAGACUUAGCUACAGAGACAGAGGAGACUCCCACCUACAAUAGAAAGCAUAAGGGACCCCAGAACAUCUCGUAGGGAAGCCCCAGAAAUGGGCGGGAUCGGUGGCAUGACAGCCUGCAACCAAGGUAACCCAUACUGGCUAUUAUAAAGUAACCACAGAAAAAUACUCUUUUAUAGCACGUGGAAAAAGAGUUUUUGUACGCCUUUAACUUUUUGCACAUUUUGAAACAUUUUGACAUUUUAUGUGCAAAGCAAACAGAGUAUCAAAUUAAUGUCAAGUGGAAUGAAAAUGAUAGAGGGUUUUCAAAAUUUUAAGUAAAUAUGUCUGAAAAGUGAGGCGGGCAUUUGUAUUCAGCCCCCUGUACAGCUACAGAAACCACAUUUAUACUCUCAGUAUAAAUAUGCCUGUUCUGUGAAGGCCUCGGUACUAGUAUAAUGAAGACCAAGGAGCUAACGAUAAAAGGUCAGGGAUAAAGUUGUGGACACUUUAAGAGAAAACACAUAUCCCAAGUUCAAAAAACAACUCCAUUCAAUCACCCAACAAUGGAGAAAGUAGGCAAAUCUAGCCGGACAUGCCCAUCCAUUUAAACUGGAAGAGUGAGUGAGGAGAGCUCUGGUCAGAAAAGCAGCCAAGAGGCCCGUGGUCCCGCUACCCUUUGGAGGAACUGCAGAAAUCCACUGUUCAGGUGGGAAAAUCUGUCCACAGGACGACUCGAAAUUGUGCACUUGACAAAUCUGGCCUUUAUGAAAGAAUGGCAAGAAGUCGCCCUUGUUAAAAAAAAAAAAGGCCUAAGUUUUAUUUUGUUAUGUAGGGAAAGAAAGUAGUUGGGGCAGGCUGAUGAAAGCCAGUAUUCAACCAAGGCCCCUCCGACCAUCGCGAAACAUUCACACGCGUGUUCAUGUUAGGCUUCAUUCAAGGUCUCAAAUAUUCAUAAAAAUGUUCACCAAAUGUUAGCCAGACAGUGACCAACAGUUUUAUUCUUUUUUCUUAUCGCAAGCAAAUUUAGAACAUGUUCAAAAUACCCUUGUACAUGCAAACGUCUGACGAAUGUCUGCCGACCGUUUGCCGCAUGUAAAGGUGCUAUCGGCAGCUGCAGUUCAAGUAUUGAUGCAGGGGAUCUGAAUACAAAUGCACACCAUGUUUUUAUUUGCUUAAAAUUUUCAAAACUUUCAUUCCCGUUUCACUUGACAAUCAUAUGACAGUUUGUAUGGGUCAAUCACAUAAAGUCUUUGGCUGUAAGGUGCCAAAGCAGGGAAAGCUCAAGCGGUAUGAAUACUUUUUCAAGGUACUGUACACACUCCCCACACACAGUUUCCCAACAUCAUCCAUCUUUGCUGUGAACUUGGAUAACCCAAAAAAACAAACAAACCAAAAAAAAAAUAAAAAAAACCAUCCAUUUACCCUACACCCACAAGUUAAGAGAUUCACGGUCAGGGCUCCAGACUAACUUUUUCAUGGGAGCAUCUUCGCCCCUAACUUCAAAUUGUAGGGACACAAGCAGGACAUUUAGGGGCGUACACUGUAAAUCAAUUAGCAAAGUAAAAAAAAAAAAAAAAAAAAAAAAAGAUAUUUUAUCUUUUUACCGGUAGUCUCUGUUCAAAUGGACCCUCAGUUCUGCACCCACAGAUUUGCAUAUUUGGGAAUUUUUUUCUCAUCUUUUUAAAAUUUGAAAGGUGCUUUGCUUUCGUGUACUCUCCCAUUGGCUACUUAUACUGUAUCUCAUGCACUGUUUUGCUAGUUAACAGCUAAUCAGUGAUAUCAAUUGCCACUAACUGCUCUUAAUUCUUCACAGUUCUACGUUUUUUGUUUUUUUUUU